UCGAGGAUCUUCGGCAAUGGGCGCAAGCCUGACCGAGCGACGCCGCGUGUGCGAUGAAGGCCUUCGGGUUGUAAAGCACUGUCGAGGGGGAGGAAAGCCCGCAAGGGCCUGACCGACCUCUGGAGGAAGCACGGGCUAAGUUCGUGCCAGCAGCCGCGGUAAGACGAACCGUGCAAACGUUGUUCGGAAUCACUGGGCUUAAAGGGCGCGUAGGCGGAUAGCCAAGUCGGGGGUGAAAGCCUCCAGCUCAACUGGAGAAGUGCCUCCGAUACUGGCUGUCUCGAGGGAGGUAGGGGUGCGCGGAACUUCCGGUGGAGCGGUGAAAUGCGUAGAGAUCGGAAGGAACGCCGGUGGCGAAAGCGGCGCACUGGACCUCUGCUGACGCUGAGGCGCGAAAGCCAGGGGAGCAAACGG
rnacentral:rRNA from 1 species